AAUUACCUGUACGAAAAUUCUGAGCCAAUUCUGUACAGACUCUGUACCAACUCUGGUUGUUAUAGAGGCAGAUUUUCAUUUUUCUGUACAGAGUUGACACCGACACAGAAUUGGACACAGAAUCCGCCUAGGAAAUAGGUGAUUUUCUGUGCAGAAUUAAACAGAAUCAAAAAAUUUUCUGUACAGAAAAAUUUUCAUACAGAUAUUUUGCUCUUAGUUAUUUAUAUAAGACAGAAUUUCACUACUUAGAAAAAAAAUUGAGGCAGAAUUUACAUUAACACACAGAAUUUUAACACUUAGAUAAAUCUUGAGACAGAAUUUACUUUUCUAGCCAGAAUUUCACUCUUGAGUUAAUCUCAGAGUAGAAGAAUAUUCUGUAAUACCAGGUGUAACCCCCAUGUAACCCCUGUUGGUCAAUUCAAAUCUCUCAGGCCGCCACGUGAGGUUUUAUUACACAAAGUGUCUUCAUAUUGGCAAAGAUUAUGUUUUGUUUAGUUUAUUUUUCUAAUGAUAAGUUAACAAGUUAGUUGUUGUGAAGUUGUGAAGAGAAAUCAUGACUGUAGAGACUUGAAAUUCUCAGAUUUAGGGGCCAAAGAGGAAUUAUGAUGGAAUUAUAAUCAAAACCAGAGAUUAUGUCAGGAUGUGUGGUGCAAAGACAGAGACAAGCCAAUUCCUGAUGACACUGUGCCCUCAACAAGGCUAUUACUCGUUGGAUAGACUACUCCAGGAAAGAAAUGAAUAAAAAUUGUUAAAUGAAAUUAAUAAAUAAAAAAUGUUCAAAAGGAAAUUGAUUUUGUUUUUAGCCAAAAAAGAAAAUCUGUACAGAAUAUUUUCUGUACAGAAUUUUUUCUGUGCAGAAUUCCCUUUCAGAUAUUUUCUAUGGACAGGGUUAAUUCUGUACAGAAUAUGAAGAAGCCCAGAUUUUUUUCUGCCCAGAUUUUUUUUCUGCCCAGAAUUUUUUUUUCUGCCCAGAUUUUUUUCUGCCCAGAAAAUAUUCGGCUUAAUUUAAAUAUUUCAGAAAAAAUCUGUACAGAUUUUGUUCUUUAUCCUUAUUGCUAAAAUCUAUUAAUAGAAUUCUGGUUCAACUUUGUUUCAUUUAACCAGAUUUUUUUCUGUACAGACUCUGUACAGAGUUUUCAAAAUAAAGUCUGUACAGAUUCUGUCUGCAUUCUGCCCAGACUUUUUCGUACAGGUAA